UGGGGAAUAUUGCACAAUGGGCGAAAGCCUGAUGCAGCGACGCCGCGUGAGGGAUGACGGCCUUCGGGUUGUAAACCUCUUUCAGCAGGGACGAAGCGCAAGUGACGGUACCUGCAGAAGAAGCACCGGCUAACUACGUGCCCGCAGCCGCGGUAAUACGUAGGGUGCAAGCGUUGUCCGGAAUUACUGGGCGUAAAGAGUUCGUAGGCGGUUUGUCGCGUCGGUUGUGAAAACCAGCAGCUCAACUGCUGGCUUGCAGGCGAUACGGGCAGACUUGAGUACUGCAGGGGAGACUGGAAUUCCUGGUGUAGCGGUGAAAUGCGCAGAGAUCAGGAGGAACACCGGUGGCGAAGGCGGGUCUCUGGGCAGUAACUGACGCUGAGGAACGAAAGCGUGGGUAGCGAACAGG
rnacentral:rRNA from 1 species